ensembl:lncRNA
CAUUUGGGUCCAUUUAGGGUCCAUUUUAGGGCCAUUUAGGGUCAUUUAGAACCAUUUAGGGCCAUUUGGGGCCAUUUAGGGUCAUUUAGGGUCCUUUUAGGGUCGUUUUUGGGGUCGAUUUUGGGGUCCCCUCACCAGGAAUGGGGCGGCGCAGUGCCUUUGGGUUCAUUUAGGGUCCAUUUAGGGUCCCUUUUGGGGCUAUUUGGGUCCAUUUAGGGUCCAUUUUAGGACCAUUUAGGACCAUUUAAGGCCAUUUAGGGCCAUUUAGGGUCAUUUAGGGCCAUUUAGGGUCCUUUUAGGGUCGUUUUUGGGGUCGUUUUUGGGGUCCCCUCACCAGGAAUGGGGCGGCGCAGUGCCUUUGGGUUCAUUUAGGGUCCAUUUUGGGGCCAUUUGGGUUCACUUAGGGGCCAUUUUAGGGCCAUUUAGGGUCAUUUAGGACCAUUUAGGGCCAUUUAGGGCCAUUUAGGGUCAUUUAGGGUCCUUUUAGGGUCGUUUUUGGGGUCCCCUCACCAGGAAUGGGGCGGCGCAGUGCCUUUGGGUUCAUUUAGGGUCCAUUUUGGGGCCACUUGGGUCCAUUUAGGGUCCAUUUUAGGGCCAUUUAGAGCCAUAUAGGGCCAUUUAGGGCCAUUUAGGGUCCUUUUAGGGUCCUUUUAGGGUCGUUUUUGGGGUCCCCUCACCAGGAAUGGGGCGGCGCAGUGCCUUUGGGUUCAUUUAGGGUCCAUUUAGGGUCCCUUUUGGGGCCAUUUGGGGCCAUUUAGGACCAUUUUGGGGCCAUUUAGGGCCAUUUAGGGUCAUUUAGGGUCCUUUUAGGGUCGUUUUUGGGGUCGUUUUUGGGGUCCCCUCACCAGGAAUGGGGCGGCGCAGUGCCUUUGGGUUCAUUUAGGGUCCAUUUAGGGUCCCUUUUGGGGCCAUUUGGGUCCAUUUUAGGACCAUUUAGGACCAUUUAGGGCCAUUUGGGGCCAUUUAGGGCCAUUUAGGGUCAUUUAGGGUCCUUUUAGGGUCGUUUUUGGGGUCGUUUUUGGGGUCCC